UUUGCAGACAGCCUAGAGCUUACCUGUCUUUUUGCCUUAUUUUUAGACGUUCGCUCCAGGUGUAAAGUGAAUUCACCAGAAUGGCAUCAAUGCGUCAGAGACAAAAUGAGGAUCUCAAUCGUUGUCACUUGCGGAGGAUCGGAUGCAAACCUACCGUCGCUGGUAUUGCUGACCUUAUUCACUUUUAUAAGGGCGUUACGCUGUUUGGCAGAAGCAAAGAUGUUGUGGACUACUACAUUAGCUCUCCAGGCGAAACGAAAGAUUGCAUAUCCCGGCACCAUGCCAGAGUGAUUCGAACCGCUGAUACUUAUGAGCUCGUGGAUUCCAGCCUGACAGGCGUUUACGUUAAUGACAUCAAAAUUGGUGGUAAAGUUAUCUUGCAGAAAGGUGAUACUGUUAUAUUUGGGCAUCCCACAGAAAGAUACCUAAAGCCUGGAACGCAAGUUCGUCAGCCGAACUCACAGCUCUGCUUUCUGUUUGAACACUGUUGCUGCAAGAUUGACCAGUGGCAAAAUGCCUGUGAUGAGAUGAGGAAUUUCAUACCACAGGUUCCAUUACCCCUGUUAACAUCUCCAAAGGUUCCUCAGUUCAGCUCAAACUUGGCGUUUGAGAAAAGCAUUAGUCUUCCUGCUCGACCCCCACCAAUACGGACACCCCAAGAUGUUCCACGUACUGUUGGAGCUCCGUCUGAGUCUAGUGGUGAAAUUCCUAAUGAUCUUCAGCUGCAGGAUAAUGGCUGCAUAGAGGAAAAGGGGUCUUUGAGAGAAGAUCAGUCACUUUUAUCUGCUGCUGAAAAAGAAAACACGGACACCARCCAAAGUCUGAAAGCAUGUGAAAUCUCUGUGAUCUGUUCUGUGGAUUCCACAUUUGAUAAUGGCAGUGAUGAAAGGUUGAACGCUGCUGAUGGCCAGGAGCAGAGGGCUGCUUGCUCAUCAGAGGAUGAUGUGCUUUYGGAAGAAAAACAUGAUGAUCUCUCAGGCAGUAUUGAGGGGAAAUCUUAUCAAGAGACAAAGGAAGAUACUGUUGAAAGCAAAAMUAUCACAAGAAUAACAGGAGAGAGAAGGGCUUCAAGACCAACUAGAAAUGAUAGUAUGUUGGAGCAACAGARCGACCAAGAAAAUGAAGACUUAGCUAGGGACUGGGGAAAUGCAGYUAUUCGACAGACKCAUUGUAAUUUUGGCAGUACUAGAGCUGCACUUGCGAAGAGGCCAGAGCAGAAUACAGACUGCUGCUCCUCUGACUCGGUUUCCUUUCCCUCCAGCCUUGUGCCCGUAGGCUCACCCAAAUGCACAUGGUGUGAGGGUAACAGUUGUUCCUGUUCGCACACAGAGCCCUCUUGCCCUGUGGAUGAAAGCRGAGUAGGAAGUGGUCUGCGGUAUGCACAUGCCUGCUCCUUGGCCCAGCUCUGCUCUAAGAGUGAAGGAGGGGACGGUGGUGAGGAAGGAUCUGAACCAGCACAUCAUGAGCAGUGUGUUAAAUCAGUAGUGGAAAAGGGAAAGGAGGAACCUGCACAUGUUGUUGCAGAUUUUAGUGAGCCCGAUGAGAGGAAACAGAGUAGUUCCCAGRGUUGUGACUGGAAGUCUCCUGUUAGCUCUGUCUGCUCAGAAUUACAGGAGGAAUCAGUUGAGCUUGAAGACCAGCAGGAAUCUGAUUCUUGUGCAGUUGAACCUCCAAAUUUGGAAGGAAAUGUGGAUUUGAAAUCCAAAGAAGAUUUUGUGAAACUGUCUCUUUAUCCAGAAGACAGUGGUGUGGAGGAUGCUGUUUUGG
rnacentral:lncRNA from 1 species